GGACGAACGCUGGCGGCGUGCUUAACCCAUGCAAGUCGAACGGUAAGGCCUUUCGGGGUACACGAGUGGCGAACGGGUGAGUAACACGUGGGUGAUCUGCCCUGCACUUCGGGAUAAGCCCGGGAAACUGGGUCUAAUACCGGAUAGGACUGCGCGGUGCAUGCCGUGUGGUGGAAAGAUUUAUCGGUGCAGGAUGGGCCCGCGGCCUAUCAGCUUGUUGGUGGGGUAAUGGCCUACCAAGGCGACGACGGGUAGCCGGCCUGAGAGGGCGACCGGCCACACUGGGACUGAGACACGGCCCAGACUCCUACGGGAGGCAGCAGUGGGGAAUAUUGCACAAUGGGCGCAAGCCUGAUGCAGCGACGCCGCGUGAGGGAUGACGGCCUUCGGGUUGUAAACCUCUUUCAGCAGGGACGAAGCGUGAGUGACGGUACCUGCAGAAGAAGCACCGGCCAACUACGUG
rnacentral:rRNA from 1 species